rnacentral:rRNA from 1 species
ACGGGAGGCAGCAGUGGGGGAUAUUGCACAAUGGGGGAAACCCUGAUGCAGCGACGCCGCGUGAGUGAUGAAGUAUUUCGGUAUGUAAAGCUCUAUCAGCAGGAAAGAUAAUGACGGUACCUGACUAAGAAGCACGGGCUAAAUACGUGCCAGCAGCCGCGGUAAUACGUAUGGUGCAAGCGUUAUCCGGAUUUACUGGGUGUAAAGGGAGCGCAGACGGCAUGGCAAGCCAGAUGUGAAAGGCAGGGGCUCAACUCCUGGACUGCAUUUGGAACUGUCAAGCUAGAGUAUCGGAGAGGUAAGUGGAAUUCCUAGUGUAGCGGUGAAAUGCGUAGAUAUUAGGAGGAACACCAGUGGCGAAGGCGGCUUACUGGACGAUAACUGACGUUGAGGCUCGAAAGCGUGGGGAGCAAACAGGAUUAGAUACCCUGGUA